GAAAUUUUCCCUUUGUCUGUUGUUCUCUCUGGGCUGAAGAGACAGGCAGCAGGAAUCCUCUGUAAAGUUUGAACCAGCUAUGAAAACCAUCAGAUCAUAUCUACAACUACUUUUAACAACCCAAAUAUGGAUAUUUAAAGCACCAUUACUAAGGAGAUGGACCCCAGAAGGUGCGCUAGAAACAAGCUCUACUAGAUUAGACUUCAGCAAGUUAAGCGAACAAGACAGAUUCUGUCAGCCCUACUCACGGGACUUCUGAAAAGUCACUGAAUCAACACCAUCGAGGCAAUGGAGUAUCUUUUCAAGAUUCAGGAACCCUUCUACCAAAGGAGCAAUGGUCAAACCCGUCAUUAAACCUGAAACUGCAUUGCUUUUUUCUGACUGGCCUAGUUAUUUUCAUCACACUCAGAACCUAUUGUUUUAAAGAAGAAGACAAGUAUAAAUAGGAAAGCUUGGGAUAAG